GAUGAACGCUGGCGGCGUGCCUAAUACAUGCAAGUCGAGCGAACAGAUGAGGAGCUUGCUCCUCUGACGUUAGCGGCGGACGGGUGAGUAACACGUGGAUAACCUACCUAUAAGACUGGGAUAACUUCGGGAAACCGGAGCUAAUACCGGAUAAUAUAUUGAACCGCAUGGUUCAAUAGUGAAAGACGGUUUUGCUGUCACUUUUAGAUGGAUCCGCGCCGCAUUAGCUAGUUGGUAAGGUAACGGCUUACCAAGGCAACGAUGCGUAGCCGACCUGAGAGGGUGAUCGGCCACACUGGAACUGAGACACGGUCCAGACUCCUACGGGAGGCAGCAGUAGGGAAUCUUCCGCAAUGGGCGAAAGCCUGACGGAGCAACGCCGCGUGAGUGAUGAAGGUCUUCGGAUCGUAAAACUCUGUUAUUAGGGAAGAACAAAUGUGUAAGUAACUAUGCACGUCUUGACGGUACCUAAUGAGAAAGCCACGGCUAACUACGUG
rnacentral:rRNA from 1 species